CAGGAUGAGGCGGGCUGGACCUCUCGGGGUUACAGCCUUGCUGAAUUAUUCACCCUUGUCUUUUGCGUACUUCUUGUUUCCUUGGUGGGUUCGCCCACCACUAGGACAAACAUAAACCUUUUGUAAUUGCAAUCAGCGUCAGUAACAAAUUAAUAAUUACAACUUUCAACAACGGAUCUCUUGGUUCUGGCAUCGAUGAAGAACGCAGCGAAAUGCGAUAAGUAGUGUGAAUUGCAGAAUUCAGUGAAUCAUCGAAUCUUUGAACGCACAUUGCGCCCUUUGGUAUUCCAAAGGGCAUGCCUGUUCGAGCGUCAUUUGUACCCUCAAGCUUUGCUUGGUGUUGGGCGUCUUGUCUCUAGCUUUGCUGGAGACUCGCCUUAAAGUAAUUGGCAGCCGGCCUACUGGUUUCGGAGCGCAGCACAAGUCGCACUCUCUAUCAGCAAAGGUCUAGCAUCCAUUAAGCCUUUUUUUUCAACUUUUGACCUCGGAUCAGGUAGGGAUACCCGCUGAACUUAAGCAUAUCAAUAAGGCGGAGAAAA
rnacentral:rRNA from 1 species